rnacentral:lncRNA from 1 species
CUGUGAGUCUGUGGUUUCAGAAAAGACUUUUUGUAAGAGCUAAGUCUGAAAGCCUUAGCUCAGUUUGCUUAGUCAAGAAGGGUGCAGCUGGAUAAAAAGAACAUGAACAAAAUUUUUAAAAAAGCCCAAAUAAUGGAACAACAAAAAAACUGUGAAGGAUAGUGUCAUUGGGAGUGACAAGAGGACAACUUCUAGAAUUAUUGCUGCAAAGAUCCGGUUAUCCUCACAGGGAGUGAGUGAAAAAAAGUGGGAAGAAACUAACUUAAUUCUAAGAAAUGAGAGGAUUACAGAUCCCAGAAGAUAAUCAAGUGCUUCAAGACAGUUGAUUAAGCCAAAUUAUAUGUGGUAGAGAAAGAUUUGUGGAGCAGUUUCAGAAUAUAUACACAUGUCUGUCUGUUGAAUGUAUUCCUUCCUCUUACAGGAAGGAAUUCCUUCCAGGGUCAUUGUAUGUGAUAAAGAUCACUUGUAAAUGAAAACUUUGGAGGUUACAGAAGAAGUAAAUGUCAGAAAUGAAGGAAAAUAAUAGCAGGUAAAGGAAAGAAAGGGAGGAAUCGCAGAAAUGAGAAAAACUGAAAAGGGAAGAAAGCAGAGACCACUAAUUAGAAGUCGAGCAUCUUGGAGGAUGAAAUUAUGCCAUAAUUUUCUUCCCUUGGUCGUUUUUGAUGUCUUGAGGGGAUCCUAUCAGCAGGAGAUACAGAGAGACUCCUACUGACAUCAGCCUUCAUGCACACAUAUGAAAGGAGAAACCAUGUAGCUGAUCCAGCCUGGAGACCAUCGAUGACAGCCUGGAUGAUGGACACAGCUGUUACUCCUGUUUGUUGAUCCUGUGC